rnacentral:rRNA from 1 species
AGUGAACGCUGGCGGUAGGCCUAACACAUGCAAGUCGAACGGCAGCACAGGAGAGCUUGCUCUCUGGGUGGCGAGUGGCGGACGGGUGAGGAAUACAUCGGAAUCUACUUUUUCGGGGGGGAUAACGUAGGGAAACUUACGCUAAUACCGCAUACGACCUACGGGUGAAAGCGGGGGACCUUCGGGCCUUGCGCGAUUGAAUGAGCCGAUGUCGGAUUAGCUAGUUGGCGGGGUAAAGGCCCACCAAGGCGACGAUCCGUAGCUGGUCUGAGAGGAUGAUCAGCAACACUGGAACUGGGACACGGUCCAGACUCCUACGGGAGGCAGCAGUGGGGAAUAUUGGACAAUGGGCGCAAGCCUGAUCCAGCCAUACCGCGUGGGUGAAGAAGGCCUUCGGGUUGUAAAACCCUUUUGUUGGGAAAGAAAUCCAGCUGGCUAAUACCCGGUUGGGAUGACGGUACCCAAAGAAUAAGCACCGGCUAACUUCGUGCCAGCCGCCGCCGUAA